rnacentral:rRNA from 1 species
CCUUUGUACACACCGCCCGUCGCUACUACCGAUUGAAUGGCUCAGUGAGGCCUUCGGACUGGCUCGAAGAGGUUGGCAACGACCACUUCGAGCCGGAAAGUUCGUCAAACUCGGUCAUUUAGAGGAAGUAAAAGUCGUAACAAGGUUUCCGUAGGUGAACCUGCGGAAGGAUCAUUA